UGAAUACGAGAUGCUACGGCGUCGAAGCAGUCUAUGUCAUACUUCCAAGAAAAGCUUGCACUGUCAUAAACAAAUAAUGCCUGUACCGUAACCGACACAGGUGGGUAGGUAGAGUAUACUAAGGGGCGCGAGAUAACUCUCUCUAAGGAACUCGGCAAAAUGACUCCGUAACUUCGGGAGAAGGAGUGCCUUAUUUAUAAGGUUGCAAUAACAAGAUCCAAGCAACUGUUUACCAAAAACACAGGUCUCCGCUAAGUCGUAAGACGAUGUAUGGGGGCUGACGCCUGCCCAGUGCCAGAAGGUUAAAGAAGUUGGUUAGCAUCCGCGAAGCUGAUAACUGAAGCCCUGGUGAACGGCGGCCGUAACAAUAACGGUCCUAAGGUAGCGAAAUUCCUUGUCGGGUAAGUUCCGACCCGCACGAAAGGCGUAAUGAUUUGGAUACUGUCUCGGAGAGGGGCUCGGUGAAAUAGACUUGUCUGUGAAGAUGCGGACUACCUGCACCAGGACAGAAAGACCCUAUGAAGCUUUACUGUAACCUGAAAUUGAAAUUGGACUUUACUUGCGCAGUAUAGGUGGGAGGCGUUGAGAAUAUUCUUGCGGGAUUAUUGGAGCCAUCAGUGAGAUACCACUCUUGUAAUGUUAGAUUUCUAACUUUGUAUCAUUAUCUGGUCAAAGAACAGUUUCAGGCGGGCAGUUUGACUGGGGCGGUCGCCUCCUAAACGGUAACGGAGGCGCACAAAGGUUUCCUCUGAACGGGUAGAAAUCGUAUCUAGAGUGUAAAGGCAUAAGGAAGCUUGACUGUGAGACCUACAAGUCGAGCAGGGACGAAAGUCGGUCUUAGUGAUCUGACGGUGCUGAGUGGAAAGGCCGUCACUCAACGGAUAAAAGUUACUCUAGGAUAACAGGCUGAUCUCCCCCAAGAGUUCACAUCGACGGGGAGGUUUGGCACCUCGAUGUCGGCUCAUCGCAUCCUGGGGCGGUAGUACGUCCCAAGGGUUGGGCUGUUCGCCCAUGAAAGCGGUACGCGAGCUGGGUUCAGAACGUCGUGAGACAGUUCGGUCCAUAUCCGGUGUAGGCGUUAGAAUAUUGAGAGGAGCCUUCUUUAGUACGAGAGGACCGAGAAGGACAUACCUCUGGUGUACCAGUUAUCGUGCCAACGGUAAACGCUGGGUAGCUAUGUGUGGAGUGGAUAACCGCUGAAAGCAUCUAAGUGGGAAGCCCACCUCAAGAUAAG
rnacentral:rRNA from 1 species